GGAAGGAAAGUUAUGACCAACCUAGAUAGCAUAUUAAAAAGCAGAGACAUGGGUUUUCUCAGUGGGCGAGAGAGGGGCGGGUUGGGCGCUGCGGCUGCGGCCAUGGAGAAGCUGCGGCGGGUCCUGAGCGGCCAGGACGAUGAGGAGCAGGGCCUGACCGCGCAGGUCCUUGAUGCCUCGACGCUUAGUUUCAACACCAGGCUGAAGUGGUUUGCCAUAUGCUUCGUCAGCGGCAUCUUCUUCUCCAUCCUUGGAACUGGAUUGCUGUGGCUCCCUGGAGGCAUAAAGCUUUUUGCCGUGUUUUAUACCUUUGGAAAUAUUGCUGCAUUAGCCAGUACAUGCUUUUUAAUGGGACCUCUGAAACAACUGAAGAAAAUGUUUGAAACAACGAGAUUGCUUGCAACAAUUAUUAUGCUUCUGUGUUUCGUGCUCACCCUGUGCGCUGCUCUUUGGUGGCAUAAGAAGGGGCUGGCCGUAUUAUUCUGCAUAUUGCAGUUCCUGUUGAUGACCUGGUAUAGUCUGUCAUACAUCCCAUAUGCAAGGGAUGCAGUAAUUAAGUGCUGUUCUUCUCUCCUGAGCUGAAAGCUGUUUGCAAAGAAGGAAACUGUUUGAAAAGACCUUUUGAAAGUUGGUGUUCUGUUUUUGGUGCAGUGUCCUUUUCCUGAUACAGUGAUCACUCCAGAACAACUGCACUGACCAUCUAAGAUCGUUUUGUAUACUGAUAAAACUACAUACCCAUUAAACUGUUAAAUGCUUGUGGAAAAAAAAAAAAAAA